CAAUCAAGUAAAAGAUUAGUGUUCCCUUAUACUCUACCUAACUUUAAAGCUAGUUUUAAUAUAAAUCUGCUUCAGUUUUCUGAUAUGUUAUGGUAUGAGAUUUUUGAAAUAUUUUUGAAUGUGUAUUUUUAUAUAUUGCAAUCAGGAUAAAUGCACAAAGCAAGGAGACACGGACAUUGGAUGAAAUCAAGAAAAAGCUGUCAGAUAUGAAAACAGCUAUUAAGAAGAAUGUGAGGGAGAGAAGACAGUUUUCCACCAACAGGCGGUGGCCCUGCUCCUAUACUAAAUGAACAGGAUGAGAAGCUGCCACAGACGAAAGACCAAUCUUUACUGACCAAACAUCCGAGGGAACGUUACAGGGAACAUCUGCCAAUGUUAAUGAUGCGAAAAAAUACAGCCAAAGUAACAAAAAAAGAAAAAGCAAUGCUGAUGAUGAUGGGGAUAAAAUCAUGUCAAUAUUAGAAGACCAAACGCAAGUGUUAAAACAGAUUCUUGAAGAGCAAAGGAAAACAAAUAAGAUUUUAAGUCAACUAUUUGCUGUCAAUGCUGAACCUUAAAUAACAUCAAUUAUAAUGUACAUGUAACAUAUAAAUGAAAUAUUGAUGAUUUUUGAUUUCUGUAUUUUCACUGUAAAAUUUCUUUUUCACUUCAGUGAAACAUAUUUUCCGUAUUUUUACUGAUGUCUUGCUGGACUACUUUCUUCUAAAUUGAGGCAAUAAACAAAAUUCAAGGGGAAAUCUUUCACAUUGUAAUGUUAAAA